GCGUCCUAUUAGCUUGUUGGUGAGGUAACGGCUCACCAAGGCAGCGAUGGGUAGCCGGCCUUAGCGGGUGGACGGCCACACUGGAACUGAGGAGAGCGGUCCAGACUCCUACGGGAGGCUGCAGUGCUGAAUUAUUCGCCAAUGCGCGAAAGCGUGACGGUGCGACGCCGCGUGCGGGACGAAGGCCCUAGGGUCGUAAACCGCUGUCAGGGCUUCGGAAACCGUAGAGGUUAAUAGCCUCUGCGCUGACCAGACCCAAAGGAAGCACAGGCUAAUCUCGUGCCAGCAGCCGUGGUAAUACGAGAUGUGCGAGCGUUGUUCGGAAUUACUGGGCAUAAAGGGUGCGCAGGCGGCCAUGUAAGUCAGGUGUGAAAUCCCUCGGCUCAACCGGGGAAUUGCAUCUGAUACUGCAUGGCUUGAGAACGAAAGGGGCAAGCGGAAUUCCAGGUGUAGCGGUGGAAUGCGUAGAUAUCUGGGAGAACGCCAAUGGCGAAGGCAGCUUGCUGGGUCGUUUCUGACGCUCAUGCACGAAAGCUAGGGGAGCAAACAGGAUUAGAUACCCUGGUAGUCCUAGCUGUAAACGAUGGGUACUAGGUUCCGGGAUUCCUGGUGAUUUCGGAGCCGCAGUUAAUGCGUUAAGUACCCCGCCUGGGGAGUAUGGUCGCAAGGCUAAAACUCAAAGGAAUUGACGGGGGCUCACACAAGCGGUGGAGCAUGUUGUUCAAUUCGAAGCAACGCGAAGAACCUUACCUGGGUUUGACAUGCAGGAAGUAGAACCCUGAAAGGGGAACCACCGGUAUCCAAUCCGGAACCUGCACAGGUGCUGCAUGGCUGUCGUCAGCUCGUGUCGUGAGACGUUGGGUUAAGUCCCGUAACGAGCGAAACCCUUGUCGUCUGUUGCUACCAGGUAAUGCUGGGCACUCUGACGAGACUGCCGGUGUUACACCGGAGGAAGGUGGGGACGACGUCAAGUCAUCAUGGUCCUUACAUCCAGGGCUACAAACGUGCUACAAUGGCGAGUACAGAGAGACGCGAGACCGCGAGCUGGAGCAAAUCUUCAAAGCUCGCCCCAGUUCGGAUUGGAGGCUGCAAUUCGCCUCCAUGAAGUUGGAAUCGCUAGUAAUCGC
rnacentral:rRNA from 1 species